rnacentral:ncRNA from 2 species
AAGUUAUUAAGAGUAUGGCGAGAGCAACUGGCUCAAUGACCCAUCAGCAACCUGCCUUGUCCUUCGAAGCUUUAGCGAAGGAGGAUCAGUAAGGUGCUAAUUCCAGCCCGUAAAAGGGAGAGAUAAUAC